rnacentral:rRNA from 1 species
GAUGAACGCUAGCUACAGGCUUAACACAUGCAAGUCGAGUGGAAACGACAUCGAAAGCUUGCUUUUGAUGGGCGUCGACCGGCGCACGGGUGAGUAACGCGUAUCCAACCUGCCCAUCACUUGGGAAUAACCUUGCGAAAGUAAGACUAAUACCCAAUGAUAUCCCACGAAGGCAUCGGAAUGGGAUUAAAGAUUUAUCGGUGAUGGAUGGGGAUGCGUCUGAUUAGCUUGUUGGCGGGGUAACGGCCCACCAAGGCAACGAUCAGUAGGGGUUCUGAGAGGAAGGUCCCCCACAUUGGAACUGAGACACGGUCCAAACUCCUACGGGAGGCAGCAGUGAGGAAUAUUGGUCAAUGGGCGAGAGCCUGAACCAGCCAAGUAGCGUGCAGGAAGACGGCCCUAUGGGUUGUAAACUGCUUUUAUAAGGGAAUAAAGUGGGUCACGUGUGACUUUUUGCAUGUACCUUAUGAAUAAGGACCGGCUAAUUCCGUG